rnacentral:rRNA from 1 species
UUCGGAUUGCAGGCUGCAACCCGCCUGUAUGAAGUUGGAAUCGCUAGUAAUCGCGGAUCAGCAUGCCGCGGUGAAUACGUUCCCGGGCCUUGUACACACCGCCCGUCACACCAUGAGAGUCGGGAACACCCGAAGUCCGUAGUCUAACAGCAAUGGGGGCGCGGCCGAAGGUGGGUUCGAUAAUUGGGGUGAAGUCGUAACAAGGUACC